AAUUUAAAAAUCAAAUCUAAAUUAAAUAAUCAAUUAAAAAUCAAAACUGAUCAAUUUGAACCAAAUUCAAUCGAAAUAAAACGGUUCAGUUUGAUUUGAUUUUUUAUUUAUUUUGAUUUGGUUUAAUUCAGUUCGGCUUGAUUCGAACCGAAUACUCAAGAAAAGUGGAGAUCAAGGAUUAAGGGAAGACGAAUAAUUUUUCAUUAAUCAUGGUUAGAAUUUUUUUUUUAAUUUAAGUGAUUUGGUACUUGGAUUCUACUAAUUUAUAAUAAAAUAAUUCGAUUGGCAUAUCACGUCAGCUAAGGCACAAUAUCCUUCAAAAUAUGACUAAUUUUUUUCCAUAAAUUUAAAACGUGACAUAUUGUGCUAAAAAA
rnacentral:misc_RNA from 1 species